AUUGAACGCUGGCGGCAGGCCUAACACAUGCAAGUCGAACGGUAACAGGAAGAAGCUUGCUUCUUUGCUGACGAGUGGCGGACGGGUGAGUAAUGUCUGGGAAACUGCCUGAUGGAGGGGGAUAACUACUGGAAACGGUAGCUAAUACCGCAUAACGUCGCAAGACCAAAAAGGGGGACCUUCGGGCCUCUUGCCAUCGGAUGUGCCCAGAUGGGAUUAGCUAGUAGGUGGGGUAACGGCUCACCUAGGCGACGAUCCCUAGCUGGUCUGAGAGGAUGACCAGCCACCCUGGAACGGAGACACGGUCCAGACUCCUACGGGAGGCAGCAGUGGGGAAUAUUGCACAAUGGGCGCAAGCCUGAUGCAGCCAUGCCGCGUGUAUGAAGAGGGCCUUCGGGUUGUAAAGUACUUUCAGCGGGGAGGAAGGGAGUAAAGUUAAUACCUUUGCUCAUUGACGUUACCCGCAGAAGAAGCACCGGCUAACUCCGUG
rnacentral:rRNA from 1 species